rnacentral:sRNA from 1 species
CAGAACGCUGGACAGACUGGCUUUAAAAGGCAGGCACUGACAGAUAGUAAAGAGAAUUUGGUUUUCUCUGUAACCAGGAAAUGUGAGAGGGCAAACUUGACCUGGUCUGGGCACAGGAAAUGCAGCAGCCUGUGAGCUUCGAUGUCAUCUUGUUCAUACCUCUAAUACUGCCAUGAAAUCAGGGGAAAUUUCAAGAGCAUUACGUAGAACCAGAAUUUGGCACAAUAGGAUCAUUAUGGAUUUGGGAAUUGAAAUGCUGUGCUUUGCCAGCCACUGCAUCUCCGGCAAGCUGAAAGAGCGUCUUGUCUCAUUAGACCGGGUUCUCCUCAUCCCAUGAGCUCCCCACGAGCACUCCGUGAGACAGCUAAGGUUUCUUUGAGAGCGACCAAAUGCAGCUGUGAUGCUCAGGAGUUAUCAACACACCAUUUCCAAAUCUCACAGAGGCCUGGAAAUGCAUCCACCGAGUCUGUACAUUUAACUGAAGUCUCAAGUAUGAAGAGAAAGAUCUGGGGUGACUGGUUCCAGAUCCUCCAUUGCACUGGAUGGUGCAUAGAACCAAGAGCUCCAGAUCAUCAGCAACUGAUUCUUGAGCUCUCUGUGGCUAUUCUGGAGAGGACAAUCUUUGGUCUACGACUCUUCUAUUUCCACUGAAAAGUGACAGUGACCACAGAUAAUGUCUGGAAGACAUUUAGUGCGUAAACAAGAAGGAAUUGAUGCGACCAUCCCCACCAUCAGGCUUAAUGAGUGUCUGGCUUCGUCCUGGCUUCCACGCAGCAGCAGCUGGUGCUGUGUCCACCGACCGGUGCUUCACGAGCAGAAAUCUGCUUUCCAAGUUUCAGCACACACAUGUGUAGACACCCAGCACACGGAGCCUUGGAUCCCAGUUCCCUGACAUAGGAUAUGUCAUGAAAAAUAUUAAUCAUAAAUGUCCUGAAAAUUGGAUCUGAUCUCCCUUAAUACUCUACUCGCUGUUGCAAUGGAAAUGUUUUCUAAUAAAAAAUAUCCAAGUCUGCCAAACCAGUGUAGCGAUCUCCAGAGUAUCAUACCACUUUCCAAGCGCGGUUUGAUGAGCCUGAUGUCAAGUCGCCAAACUUGGCCACCGAGCUUGCUCCAAAAUGCUGAACUCUUAGCAAAAAUGCUUUUUAUAAUAACUCCAAUCCUUGCCCAGACUAACUCUCAAAUCUGAUAGUGUCCAAGUUCGUUAUUAAUUUUUUUAUUGGUCCUCGCUGAGUACCCCAUCCAGAGUGGUCUGUUGGAAAAGCUCCUUAUUUCUUCUGUCUGCUUUGAUUCACUUCGUUUGUUUAUUCUGUUCCGUGUAAGUUAUCAGGAAGUCAGGGGAAGGACAGAAACGAAAGUUCCUCUCUGUUUUCUAUUUUAUAAUGUUUGUACCGAUACGUUCUUAGCUACCAAGUCAGUGUCUAAGGUGAUGGCCUGGUUUUAUCCUUUUAAUUGGAUUGUUUUGGCCGUUCAUAUGCAAGACAUUGAUUUGUGUCUCUGAUGCUUCCCAGCCUCCUUAUUGUUUUUAAUGCUUCAUGUUCUGACUUAAAGGUAAGUUUUCCCCCAGCAUAUUAUGAACAUAACAAAAUAUCACACAAUAAUACUAAUAAUAAUCUUAUAAAACCUUCGGAGGCAAAAGGAGGUAUUUGUAGUGAGGCAGCGUGUGAAGUUCUAAGUGCUGAGCAGAAGAAAAUUAAAAAAUGAAAAGGAGGUGGAAAAACCGCAUUUUGUUAGUAUUAAAGUUUUAUCUUCCUUUAUUACUGGGAUUCCAGUAAAUAUGGACAAAGAUGUGAAUUCAAAUGUACUAUUUGCCUUUUCAGUGCCUCUCUGCAUAAUCCUGCCCCCGCCCCGCCCCAAACACAUGUGUCUGCUUACACCACAGUCCCGAACACACUGUCCAGUUACUUCAUCCCAUCUCAGAAACACUGUAAUUUGGGGAAAGAUCAAGAGCAAUUACGUUGUUCUCAAGCCGCUUUGCAGUUUUUCAGCCUUCUGAGAUGUCUCCAGGAAAAUGGAUACUCAUUGCUAGCAAUGAACCUUUACUAGAUUUAGUCACUGGAAUUGUUCAAGAAGUUUGAUAAAAAGGAACAGGGUAGGGUGAGCAGGCUGGCUCCGGUGUAGUUGGCUGCAGGGGUGGGGGUAGCGGAUGUACUGGCAGCUACUAGAACCGCUAAAGAAGAGAGAUGCAGAGAAAGGGCCAAGCCGCCCUCUUACUCUUUUGUACAGUUGUUCAGUAAUUGUCCUUGAAUAUACCUCNUAGUCUUCUAAACUUCAGAGUACCUUGGUCUUUUCUUACAUUCUACCAAACCCUUUGCACAUAGUUUUUGGAAAUCAUUUAGAAAGCAAGACCAGGAUUUAUUCAUACAGACCCUGUUGUUCAAUUUUUUUUCUGCUCAAAUCCAUAUAUUUGUAACCAAAGUGAGAAUAGAAACCUCGCUCUCAUUCCUACUUUCCUAAAGCCGUUCUCAGUCCAUAGCAAAUCAGUCUUCGCCACCACCCUGAACUGAAUAUUAGUAUUAAAGCAUCUUUUGGUAUGGAACAUUCUCAGGGGCACUUUGAAACAUCUGUGUGCUACAUAGCAUAUAGUGUUUAACAAUAAAGCUGAAAGCUUAUGUACAAAGCUUAAGUCUCCGUCUGUCUGUCUGUCCAUCUGUCC